rnacentral:sRNA from 1 species
UGAUCAGAAUGAUCAAAUUAUCCAGCCAUUAGCUGCUGAUCAGACUGAUCAAGUUGUCCAUCUAUCAGCUGCUGAUCA